AUGUAAUAAGACGACGGCAGUAUUCUGUUCCUGGCCCAAACUCUUUAUGGCACAUAGAUGGUCACCACAAGCUCAUAAGGUAUCAGUGAUAUUAGUUGAUAAACAAUGCAACUUUCUAUAGAUGUCCAAAGAAAUUAUCACAUUAAAGCUUUUUUGUGUUCAAAACUGUCUGACAGGUGGACAUUUGUUGUCCAUGGUGGGUUGGACGGAUUCAGUCGACUGGUGGUCUACCUGAAUGUGGCUGGCAAUAAUAGGGCUAGCACUGUCCUACAGAGCUUUAUCAAUGCCGUUCAGCAGUACGGGCUGCCGUCAAGGGUAUGGUCUGAUAAAGGAAGAGAGAAUUCAGACGUAGCAGAAUUCAUGAUCAGGAGCAGAGGUACCAACAGGAACUCUCACAUCACAGGCAGAAGUGUACACAAUCAGCGAAUAGAGAGGAUGUGGAGAGAUGUUUAUGAGCAUGCCCUAGACCUCUUCUAUCAGAUCUUCACUUCAUUGGAAGAUCAGGGAACACUCAAUCCAGACAACGAAGUCCAUCUUUAUGCCCUGCACCGGAUCUUCCUUCCCCAAAUUCAGAGAACCCUCAGCUCCUUCAGAGAUGCUUGGAACUUUCAUGGACUUAGAACUGAAAGGAAUCAAUCACCUAAUGAACUCUGGAGAAGAUACAGAGAGCAAGGCCCCAUGGAGGAUCCUGCAGAGGUUAAAAAAAAUAUUGUAGUUUUACACUAUUAUUGAAACCUUUUGAAAAAUAUAUAAAUAUUUUGUAGGUCAGGAGAUACAGGUGUUUGUCACUGAUGUUUCAUUAAAGUAUCACCUUUAGCAGAUUUAUUUUUCCUCAAAUUUCUUAGAAGAAACAUUUCAGACAGAUGAUAAUUGGACCCACUAUAUUUUAAUAAAAGGGUUUCUGUUA